rnacentral:tRNA from 1 species
GCCACCUUAGCUCAGUCGGUAGAGCAAUUCACUCGUAAUGAAUAGGUCGCCGGUUCGAUUCCGGCAGGUGGCU